rnacentral:rRNA from 1 species
UACGUAGGGUGCAAGCGUUGUCCGGAAUUAUUGGGCGUAAAGAGCUCGUAGGCGGUCUGUCGCGUCGGCUGUGAAAACUCGAGGCUCAACCUCGAGACGUCGGCGGAAACCAUCUGGCUAGAGUCCGGAAGAGGAGAGUGGAAUUCCUGGUGUAGCGGUGAAAUGCGCAGAUAUCAGGAAGAACACCCGUGGCGAAGGCGGCUCUCUGGGACGGUACUGACGCUGAGACGCGAAAGCGUGGGGAGCGAACAGG